rnacentral:rRNA from 1 species
GACGAACGCUGGCGGCGUGCUUAACACAUGCAAGUCGAACGGAAAGGCCCUGCUUUUGUGGGGUGCUCGAGUGGCGAACGGGUGAGUAACACGUGAGUAACCUGCCCUUGACUUUGGGAUAACUUCAGGAAACUGGGGCUAAUACCGGAUAGGAGCUCCUGCUGCAUGGUGGGGGUUGGAAAGUUUCGGCGGUUGGGGAUGGACUCGCGGCUUAUCAGCUUGUUGGUGGGGUAGUGGCUUACCAAGGCUUUGACGGGUAGCCGGCCUGAGAGGGUGACCGGCAACAUUGGAACUGAGAUACGGCCCAGACUCCUACGGGAGGCAGCAGUGGGGAAUAUUGCACAAUGGGCGGAAGCCUGAUGCAGCAACGCCGCGUGCGGGAUGACGGCCUUCGGGUGGUAAACCGCUUUCGCCUGUGACGAAGCGUGAGUGACGGUAAUGGGUAAAGAAGCACCGGCUAACUACGU